UGAAACAGAGGAAUUACAUGAUUGGCACUACUAACUUGAAAUUGUUUGCACCGUUUGAUCUCAUUGAGAUAGAAUACUUCUAGCUAACUAGAUCUGCCGGUCAUGUUAAUUUGGCUGAGAUAGAUUCCGAUUGUAUAAUAUUUUAUAUUUCAUAUGGAAAGAUAUACUACUAUAACCCUAUAAACAAACAGAUCACUCCUAAAGAUAUGCUAUAAACAGAUAGAGUAUAAUCGUACGGACAUUUCCACGGUAGGGCUGCAUACCAGUUCUCCUACGAUUUGGGCGAAUAUUUGCCCACGUGCACGUGGCCCCCAUGUUCUAUACAAGAGGAAAACAAUGUGGAUGAAAAAGGUCAAUUUUCUGAAAUAAACCCAAUGUGGUUCUCUUAGUUUGUAAUAAAGUUGAAGCACAUUUUUAUCAGAAAACACCUUGAACUCUCUCAUAGAACUAGUAUAGAACAUGACAUUUUCAUAAGUAGCCUGAUCAUAAAUAUUUGAUGUUUAAUGUAAGAUUUGUAAGCUUUUAAAACUUUGACAUCAAUUUCAUAUAAUUAAAUAAGAGGACUGUGUGCCACCCUCCUUAAUAGGGGUGGUAGCGGGGCGGGGGCGGGUUGAACAGAAACGCCCUCGCCCCCGCUCCUCGCAUUCCGCCCCUGCCCCUGCCCCCAUAUUGUCAACCGGGUUGAAAACCUCUCUCAACCCCACACCCGUAGGGAACCUGGCGGCGGUGGCGGAUCUAGGAAGCAGGCCGGCCCUAAGAGGGGCGAGCGGUGCGGCCGCUCUGAGGCCCCAAAAUCGGAGGGAGAGGCAGGGGCAGUGUUGACGGUGAACCGCCGGUAGUGGACGCAACCACGUGGAGCAGGUCCUUCCAGAGUGGUGGCAGCACCGAAGCAGGGAAGCCUGAAGCUGGCGAGGCAGUCCCCUGCAAGUAGAGGUGGCCCAGCCUCGAAAGGCGGCGAGUGGGAGCUCAUCCCUCCAGUCGAUGGCUGUGGUCCGGAGGAGGGGCCAUGCAAUGAGGAUGGGGGCGCGGAGGUUAGCGACGGCGACAACCUGUUGGGGCAGCGAUGGUGAGGCGAAGACCAUGACAACAUGUUGCUAGCUGCUUGACGUGACGAUGAAUGACGAGAGGUUGAAGAUGGGGGCAUUUCUGUCCAAUAUGGAUAAAAUAUGUAUACUAGUGGCAUGUUUCAAAUUAUAUAAAAAUAGUAAUAGCAUUGGUACAAAUACACGAAUUGUAAUGGCAUAUUUUGAAUCCGUUAAAUUUAUAAUGGAAUGUAUUUGAUUAACCCUUAUUAUUUUGUUCGACUGGCAUAUGCGUCUGUAUAUUUUGUUUUAAUUUUAUAUAGUUUCAAAUUUUGCUUCUAAUAUUAUCACGUCAACUUUAUGUAUCGUUAUAUCAGUUAAAAUUAGGGUAAUAUUGAGGGAUCUUGUUUGUACUAAUUUUAAAAAUUAAGGAUGCGUUCGUAUCCGACUUUACGAUGAUUUUCAAACUCGACGACGACGACGACAAAUCUCGACCGAACUUUUCCCGUUCCGGAAACCUUCGCGGCCAACCAUGCCGCCGUCUCCCUCACCUCUCGUUCCCGCCUCUUCGCCAACAGAGGGCCGCCGCCGCCGCCGCCCCUAUCACGGUCGCCUCCUUCAAGAACACAACUGCGCGCACCCGCGGCGCGUGACGCGGCCGGCGUCAUCCCCACGCUUCUCGCCGGCGGCGGCAGCCGGUGUCCUGAACCCUUCGAGGAGACCCCUGCGAGCUCCAUCAUCGUGGUGCUCGAUGAAAUGUCGCCAUGGAGAUCGGUUUACUCAUCGAGGACAUCGGCGUGCAGCAUAACAGCAGGAGACGUAACGUACCACCUCAGGACGCAGAAUUUGGAAGAUGCUCAGUGCAUACCAUUGACGGCACCAUAUUGAGAUGUGUACCUGAGAACGCCAAUGGAGGCAGUACGAGGAAUGGAAAAGGUGAACACUUUGGCAAGGGAAAAGCCUGGUGUAGUAGGAGCCUGGUAGCCCAGAGAUAUAGAAUGGAGGCAGUGCUACUCCCUUGGGAUGAGAUGCUGCGAUCGACUUAGUAAACUGUUUAACUGACUUGAACACCUGAUUGAAAUCAUUGCCAGACAGAUCAUUCAGGAAGAACUGGAGUUCCAUGGGAUGGCACCUGAGCUCAUCAUGGUGCUGAGCAUCAGCUACCGUGUUGAUCACAUCGGAGACGAAGAGGAGAGUGUUUGCAUCGACAGAAAAGCCUAGGUCAGCAACUAUCAUAGCUCGAGGAUGGAGAGCCAUGCACACCUGUCUCACAGCCUUGUCAAGCACCGGCUUGGUCUUGAGCAA